AACGAACGCUGGCGGCGUGGAUAAGACAUGCAUGUCGAACGGGACAGGUAGCAAUAUCUGUCUAGUGGCGAACGGGUGCGUAACACGUGGGCAACAUGCCUGGAAGAGCGGGAUAGCCCGGGGAAACUCGGAUUAAUACCGCAUGUGACAACGGGGCGGCUUCGCCCUGUUUUCAAAGGUGGGGACCGCAAGGCCUGCCGCUUCCAGAUUGGCCCGCGUCCUAUCAGCUAGUUGGCGGGGUAAAAGCCCACCAAGGCGACGACGGGUAGCUGGUCUGAGAGGCCGACCAGCCACACUGGAACUGAGACACGGUCCAGACACCGACGGGUGGCAGCAGUCGAGAAUCUUUCACAAUGGGGGAAACCCUGAUGGAGCGACGCCGCGUGGAGGAUGACGGUCUUCGGAUUGUAAACUCCUGUCAUGAAAGAACAAGCGGAGCGGGUGAACAGCCCGCCGAGUCGAUAGUAUUUCAAGAGGAAGGGACGGCUAACUUCGUGCCAGCCGCCGCGGUAACAC
rnacentral:rRNA from 1 species